UACAGAGGGUGCGAGCGUUAAUCGGAAUUACUGGGCGUAAAGUGUGCGCAGGCGGCUUCGCAAGUCGAGUGUGAAAUCCCCGAGCUUAACUUGGGAAUUGCGCUCGAAACUACGGAGCUGGAGUGUGGCAGAGGAAGGUGGAAUUCCACGUGUAGCGGUGAAAUGCGUAGAGAUGUGGAGGAACACCGAUGGCGAAGGCAGCCUUCUGGGCCAACACUGACGCUCAUGCACGAAAGCGUGGGGAGCAAACAGG
rnacentral:rRNA from 1 species